rnacentral:rRNA from 1 species
GAGUUUGAUCAUGGCUCAGAUUGAACGCUGGCGGCAUGCCUUACACAUGCAAGUCGAACGGCAGCACGGGAGCAAUCCUGGUGGCGAGUGGCGAACGGGUGAGUAAUACAUCGGAACGUGCCCAAUCGUGGGGGAUAACGCAGCGAAAGCUGUGCUAAUACCGCAUACGAUCUACGGAUGAAAGCAGGGGACCGCAAGGCCUUGCGCGAAUGGAGCGGCCGAUGGCAGAUUAGGUAGUUGGUGGGGUAAAGGCCCACCAAGCCAACGAUCUGUAGCUGGUCUGAGAGGACGACCAGCCACACUGGGACUGAGACACGGCCCAGACUCCUACGGGAGGCAGCAGUGGGGAAUUUUGGACAAUGGGCGCAAGCCUGAUCCAGCCAUGCCGCGUGCAGGAUGAAGGCCUU